UAAGGAAUAUUGGACAAUGGGCGGAAGCCUGAUCCAGCCAUCCCGCGUGCAGGAAGAAGGCGCUCUGCGUCGUAAACUGCUUUUACAGGGGAAGAAACCCUCUCUUUUUGAGGGGCUGACGGUACCCUGCGAACAAGCACCGGCUAACUCCGUGCCAGCAGCCGCGGUAAUACGGAGGGUGCGAGCGUUAUCCGGAAUCACUGGGUUUAAAGGGUGCGCAGGCGGUGCGCUAAGUCAGGGGUGAAAGGCCGGGGCUCAACCCUGGGACUGCCCUUGAUACUGGCGUGCUAGGAUUGGCGCGAGGCAGGCGGAACGCGGCAUGUAGCGGUGAAAUGCAUAGAUAUGCCGCAGAACACCGAUUGCGAAGGCAGCCUGCCAGAGCCAUAUCGACGCUGAGGCACGAAAGCGUGGGGAGCGAACAGGAUUAGAUACCCCCGUAGUCC
rnacentral:rRNA from 1 species